UACAGGGGGGGCAAGCGUUGUUCGGAAUUACUGGGCGUAAAGGGUUUGUAGGUGGCUUGUUAAGUCAGACGUGAAAUCCCUCAGCUUAACUGGGGAACUGCGUCUGAUACUGAUGAGCUUGAGUGCAGGAGAGGAACGCGGAAUUCCAGGUGUAGCGGUGAAAUGCGUAGAUAUCUGGAGGAACACCGGUGGCGAAGGCGGCGUUCUGGACUGCAACUGACACUGAGAAACGAAAGCCAGGGGAGCAAACGGG
rnacentral:rRNA from 1 species